rnacentral:rRNA from 1 species
UACGAAGGGGGCUAGCGUUGUUCGGAGUUACUGGGCAUAAAGGGCGCGUAGGCGGCCCUCCAAGUCGGAUGUGAAAGCCCUGGGCUCAACCCAGGAAGUGCAUUCGAAACUGCAGAGCUGGAGUCCUGGAGAGGAAGGCGGAAUUCUCGGUGUAGAGGUGAAAUUCGUAGAUAUCGAGAGGAACACCGGUGGCGAAGGCGGCCUUCUGGACAGUGACUGACGCUGAGACGCGAAAGCGUGGGGAGCAAACAGG